UACAGAGGGUGCAAGCAUUAAUCGGAUUUAUUGGGCGUAAAGAGCGCGUAGGCGGGCUUUUAAGUCAGAUGUGAAAUCCCGGGGCUCAACCCCGGAACAGCAUUUGAAACUGGAAGUCUUGAGGGUAGUCGGAGAAAAUGGAAUUCCACGUGUAGCGGUGAAAUGCGUAGAUAUGUGGGAGAACACCGGUAGCGAAGGCGAUUUUCUAGAUUAUUCCUGACGCUAAUGCGCGAAAGCAAGGGGAUCAAACAGG
rnacentral:rRNA from 1 species